rnacentral:rRNA from 1 species
UACGUAGGGUGCGAGCGUUGUCCGGAAUUACUGGGCGUAAAGAGCUCGUAAGCGGUCUGUCGCGUCGAAUGUGAAAACCCGGGGCUCAACUCCGGGCUUGCAUUCGAUACGGGCAGGCUAGAGUUCGGUAGGGGAGUCUGGAAUUCCUGGUGUAGCGGUGAAAUGCGCAGAUAUCAGGAGGAACACCGGUGGCGAAGGCGGGACUCUGGGCCGAUACUGACGCUGAGGAGCGAAAGCGUGGGGAGCGAACAGG